CCUCCUUUUUCUCUUCUUCUAACUAAGAUUUUUACUUUCUAUAUUUCUCCAUUUUCAUCUACUAUUUAUUGCCUUCUCCAAAACCUGUACCAAUUUGUACAUCCUCUUCUAGAUGUUUAGAGAAGAGAUAAGUAUGUAGGCAUAGCAUGAUUUAAAAAAUUUUAUAAUUUGAAUGGACUAUUGUGUAAGAGAAAUUUAACCUGCGUAGCAUAUACUCCAUAUACAUAACUUGCUUCUCAAG
rnacentral:lncRNA from 1 species